AUUGAACGCUGGCGGCAUGCUUUACACAUGCAAGUCGAACGGCAGCACGGGGGCAACCCUGGUGGCGAGUGGCGAACGGGUGAGUAACACAUCGGAACGUGCCCAGUUGUGGGGGAUAACCUAUCGAAAGGUAGGCUAAUACCGCAUGAGCUCGGCAAGAGGAAAGCGGGGGACUCAGCGAUGGGCCUCGCGCGACUGGAGCGGCCGAUGUCCGAUUAGCUAGUGGUGGGGUAAAGGCUUACCAAGGCGACGAUCGGUAGCUGGUCUGAGAGGAUGAUCAGCCACACUGGGACUGAGACACGG
rnacentral:rRNA from 1 species